GAAAGUUAGUGGGUGAAUGUGUAUAAUUACAGGGGCAUUAGUGUUAUUCCUCCUAAACUGUGGAGACUCAAUAUUGAUCCUCCUGAUGGUAGUACUGCUUCAUUUGAUGUUGAUGAGAGAUGGUGGGACCAGGUGGAACUGACUAGACUGGAUCUAUCAUCUAACGAAAUCAAAGAAAUAUCUGAAGAUAUUGAAAACUUUAAUUCAUUGUCAGUGCUUGAGGUCCAUUACAAUGAGUUAACAUGUCUACCUAAUAAUGUGAUCAAACUGGAUAAACUAUCUAAAAUAUUUGCAAGUCUCUCCUAUAUGUUAGGAAGGUUUGAGUCUCUUCAUUACCUUCUUUUUGAUGUUCUCCUCUUAACUAAAUGAAUGAGACCUGACAUCCUCAGGAAAGGAACAGUAUUGGUCCUCUAGUAUCUCUUGUAUUGAAGAACCAGGAGACCACAUGUGACGGCCAACCUCUCCCUCGUCCCUCAAGAUCCCCUCGUGACCAUACAAGUAAGGAUGAGGAGUGGGUGGAGUGAGGGGAGGUGUUGUGAGAAAGGAAGUUGUGAUGAUGAAAGCUAUGCUACCUCGUUAUGGUAUACUGUUACUGUUCUUAUGGGGUACCCAAUGUAUGCUCCUUUUCAUC